UGUACACGCUGUGACUAGCAUAUCAAUAAGCGGAGGAAAAGAAACUAACAAGGAUCCCCUAGUAACGGCGAGUGAAGCGGGAAGAGCUCAAAUUUGAAAUCUUAAAGGGUUUCCCUUUACGAAUUGUAGUUUAAAGAAGUGUUUUCUGUUGAGGUUUUGGUAAAAGUUCUUUGGAAUAGGACAUCAUAGAGGGUGAGAAUCCCGUAUUUGACCUUUACUUUCAACUUUGUGAUAGCACUUUCAAAGAGUCGGAUUGUUUGGGAAUGCAGUCCAAAAUGGGUGGUAAAUUUCAUCUAAAGCUAAAUAUUGGCGAGAGACCGAUAGCGAACAAGUACCGUGAGGGAAAGAUGAAAAGAACUUUGAAAAGAGAGUUAAACAGUACGUGAAAUUGUCAAAAGGGAAGCGUUUGACACCAGUGUUGUUUUUCUGAAAAUCAAUUAAAGAACUGCUUAUGCUAAGUUGUUUAGACUUUAUCAGUUAACUGUUUAGUUUUGAGCUUUUCUUUAAUGCACUUUUCAGUUAACAAGUCAACAUCAAUUUCUUUUGCUGUAAAAAAGCUUGAGGAAGGUGGCUUGAGAUUCGUCUUAAGUGUUUAUAGCCUCUUGCCUAUGCAGUCGGAGAGAUUGAGGUCUGCAGCGUAGAUCCUUCGGGGCUAAAUGCAUUUGUGCUAAGUUAUAGCAUUUUAUAGACAACUUGUUGACUAUGAUUUGUCUUGUAGCUUACUCGCUUAUGUUAUUUUACCUACGCUUAGGAUGUUGAAGAUGUAGCACAUCAU
rnacentral:rRNA from 1 species